CCCCACUGCUAUCGGGAUGGGACUAAGACAUGCUAGUCGAGCGUCUCCAAGCUAUGGAAGAGACGCGGCACACAGCUCAGUAACACGUGGCUAACCUGCCCUUGGGACAAGGACAACCCCGGGAAACUGGGGCUAAUCCCUGAUAGGUGAGAACUCCUGGAAUGGAUUCUCGCUGAAAGGACGUUUAGACCAUGCUUCUAGGCGUCGCCCAAGGAGGGGGCCGCGACCGAUCAGGUUGUUGGUGAGGUAACGGCUCACCAAGCCUUUAACCGGUACGGGCCGUGAGAGCGGAAGCCCGGAGAUGGGCACUGAGACAAGGGCCCAGGCCCUACGGGGCGCAGCAGUCGCGAAAACUCCGCAAUACACGAAAGUGUGACGGGGCUAUCCCGAGUGCCAUCCGCUGAGGAUGGCUUUUCCCCAGUGUAUAAAGCUGGGGGAAUAAGGAGAGGGCAAGCCUGGUGUCAGCCGCCGCGGUAAUACCAGCUCUCCGAGUGGUGGGGAUGUUAUUGGGCCUAAAGCAUUCGUAGCCUGCUUGGCAAGUCCUCCGUUAAAUCCAACGAUUCAAUCGUUGGGCUGCGGGGGAUACUGUCCGGCUAGGGGGCGGGAGAGGCCGACGGUAUCCCCGGGGUAGGGGUGAAAUCCUAUAAUCCCGGGAGGACCACCAGUGGCGAAGGCUGUCGGCUAGAACGUGCUCGACGGUGAGGGAUGAAAGCUGGGGGAGCGAACCGGAUUAGAUACCCGGGUAGUCCCAGCUGUAAACGAUGCAGGCUAGGUGUUGGCGCGGCUACGUGCCGCUCCAGUGCCGCAGGGAAACCCGUAAGCCUGCCGCCUGGGAAGUACGGCCGCAAGGCUGAAACUUAAAGGAAUUGGCGGGGGAGCACCACAAGGUGUGAAGCUUGCGGUUUA
rnacentral:rRNA from 1 species